rnacentral:lncRNA from 1 species
AAAGUACCAGCUGUGCAUACAAAGAAGAUGGUUAUUUCAGAAGAAAAGAUGUUCUUUGCUUCUCACACAGAGGAGGAGGUGUCAGUCACAGUCCCCGAGGUACAAAAGGAAAUUGUUACUGAAGAGAAAAUUCACGUUGCCAUUUCCAAAAGGGUUGAACCACCACCUAAAGUCCCUGAGCUACCUGAGAAACCAGCUCCAGAAGAAGUGGCCCCUGUUCCUAUCCCUAAAAAAGUGGAGCCCCCAGCACCAAAAGUUCCUGAGGUUCCCAAGAAACCCGUGCCAGAGGAGAAAAAGCCAGUUCCUGUGCCUAAGAAGGAACCUGCUGCUCCCCCAAAAGUCCCAGAGGUGCCAAAGAAACCUGUCCCUGAAGAAAAGAUUCCCGUUCCUGUUGCAAAGAAAAAGGAAGCUCCCCCAGCUAAAGUUCCUGAAGUACAGAAGGGAGUUGUGACAGAAGAAAAAAUAACCAUUGUAACUCAAAGAGAGGAAUCUCCACCACCAGCAGUGCCAGAAAUACCAAAGAAGAAAGUUCCUGAAGAAAGGAAACCUGUUCCUCGGAAGGAGGAAGAAGUUCCACCACCACCAAAAGUGCCAGCUCUGCCUAAGAAACCCGUCCCAGAGGAGAAAGUUGCAGUGCCAGUUCCUGUCGCUAAGAAAGCUCCUCCUCCCCGAGCUGAAGUCUCUAAGAAAACUGUUGUAGAAGAAAAGAGAUUUGUUGCUGAAGAAAAACUAUCCUUCGCAGUUCCUCAAAGAGUGGAAGUCACGCGGCACGAAGUAUCUGCAGAGGAGGAAUGGAGUUACUCAGAAGAGGAGGAAGGUGUGUCCAUUUCAG